GACCGUUUAGCUUAAUGGUUAAAGCACUCAGCCGGUGUAUGAGGGCUCCGGGUUUGAGUCCCGUAGCCGCCU
rnacentral:tRNA from 1 species